rnacentral:tRNA from 1 species
AGGAGUAUAAUUUAAUUGGAAAAAUAUGAACUUUCAGUCUUCAAAUACUCAGUUCAAGUCUGAGUGCUCCUG